rnacentral:rRNA from 1 species
AUAUCAAUAAGCGGAGGAAAAGAAACCAACAGGGAUUGCCUUAGUAACGGCGAGUGAAGCGGCAACAGCUCAAAUUUGAAAUCUGGCGUCUUUGGCGUCCGAGUUGUAAUUUGUAGAGGAUGCUUCGGCGUAGGCGCCGCCUAAAGUUCCUUGGAACGGGACGUCGUAGAAGGUGAUAGCCCUGUGACAGGGCGGAUGCCGUCGCCAUGUGAAGCUCCUUCGACGAGUCGAGUUGUUUGGGAAUGCAGCUCAAAACGGGAGGUAAAUUUCUUCUAAAGCUAAAUACCGGCCGGAGACCGAUAGUGCACAAGUAGAGUGAUCGAAAGAUGAAAAGCACUUUGGAAAGAGAGUCAAACAGCGCGUGAAAUUGUUAAAAGGGAAGCGCUUGCGGUCAGAACUUGGCCGCCGUUGCUCGGGGAGGUCUCGUGCCUCCCUCGCUCUUCGGCGGCUGGGCCAGCAUCGGUUCGGGCGGCUCGAUAAAGGCCGCGGGAACGUAGCUCCCUCCGGGGAGUGUUAUAGCCCGCGGCGGAAUGGGGCCCGCCUGGAUCGAGGUCUGCGCAUCUGCUCGGAUGCUGGCGUAAUGGCCUCAAGCGGCCCGUCUUGAAACACGGACCAAGGAGUCUAACAUUCGUGCGAGUGUUCGGGUGUCAAACCCGUGCGCGCAAUGAAAGUGAACGUAGGUGGGAACCCCUCGUGGGCGCACCAUCGACCGAUCCUGAUGUCUUCGGAUGGAUUUGAGUAUGAGCACGUAUGUUGGGACCCGAAAGAUGGUGAACUAUGCGUAAACAGGGCGAAGCCAGAGGAAACUCUGGUGGAGGCUCGCAGCGGUUCUGACGUGCAAAUCGAUCGUCAAAUUCGCGCAUAGGGCGAAAGACCAAUCGAU